rnacentral:rRNA from 1 species
AUUGAACGCUGGCGGCAUGCUUUACACAUGCAAGUCGAACGGCAGCACGGGUGCUUGCACCUGGUGGCGAGUGGCGAACGGGUGAGUAAUGCAUCGGAACGUACCUAUCAGUGGGGGAUAACACAUCGAAAGAUGUGCUAAUACCGCAUAUUAUCCGAGGAUGAAAGCGGGGGACCUUAGGGCCUCGCGCUGAUAGAGCGGCCGAUGUCGGAUUAGCUAGUUGGUGAGGUAAAGGCUCACCAAGGCGACGAUCCGUAGCGGGUCUGAGAGGAUGAUCCGCCACACUGGGACUGAGACACGGCCCAGACUCCUACGGGAGGCAGCAGUGGGGAAUUUUGGACAAUGGGCGAAAGCCUGAUCCAGCCAUGCCGCGUGAGUGAAGAAGGCCUUCGGGUUGUAAAGCUCUUUUGUCCGGGAGGAAAUCCUGACCCCUAAUACGGGUCGGGGAUGACAGUACUGGAAGAAUAAGCACCGGCUAACUACGUG